UACGUAGGGGGCUAGCGUUGUCCGGAAUCAUUGGGCGUAAAGCGCGUGUAGGCGGCCUGAAAGGUCAGCUGUGAAAACUCGAGGCUCAACCUCCGAGACGUCGGUUGAAACCAUCUGGCUAGAGUCCGGAAGAGGAGUGUGGAAUUCCCGGUGUGAGCGGUGAAAUGACGCAGAUAUCGGGAAGAACACCCGUGGCGAAGGCGGCACUCUGGGACGGUACUGACGCUGAGGUGCGAAAGCGUGGG
rnacentral:rRNA from 1 species